CGGUGUUUCGUCUAAUGAUUUUUCUUUUCUGUUCUGUUAGUAACUGAGUGAAACCUUGUAUAAUAUCAUAAUACUGUUGCAGCAUGAUGCAUUACGCACAAGUGUGGUCAGAUCAGCUGGUUCAGCAAAAAGCCAAGAGCUGUUCUAGAGGAAAAGUGUUUGUGCAAGGAGCAACACCAAAUUUCACACUCUAUGUUAUGCUCAUUGGUUUCUGAAUCAUCUUGGUUGACAAGUGGUUGACUUUGCCUGUGAAAACACAGAGGUGCUUCCUGUGUUACUUUUACGCAUCACCACUCUGAGGUGUUGAGUUGAUUUUUAUUCUCCUCUUAGCAGGCUACAGCAAUGGAUACGGCAGUGAGGUUUAUGGCACAGCAGAUGGUUAUGGGGCAGGACCUGGCUACCCAUCAGUAUUAGCUGAUAACAUUGGCCUGAAUGGUAUAGCUGGUCUUGGAGCUGGAGGCCUUGGAGGUCCAGGGCUGGUGGUGAACCCUGGCCUGGGUACUGAUGCCAAGUCGAGAAAGUAUGGGGCUGGUGGAGUUCUUGGAGCUGCCGGAUCCUUGCCUUACGGUGGCCAGCCUGUGGUCUCAGCUGGAGUUGGCCAUCAGGGCAAGACUGGUACUUAUGGUGGAACUACAUACAGAGGAAUACCAACCCUUGGGCCAGACACUGCUUUGGGUGGUACAGGUGGAGCAAUGGAGCCUUUAGCAGGCGGAGCUGUAGGCCAGAUUCCUUACAGCGCACCAGUCAUUGCAGCUGGGCUUGAGGGUAAGUUGGUAAGAACAAGAGAAAUAGAGAACAUCACGUACUCUGAUUGUGACACAGGUGUAAAUGUGUUUACCUGCAGUUGAUGCUGAUUAUGCUUUUGGUGCUGAGCAACUCGGUCUGGGUGCUGAUGCUACAAAGACAGCCGCCAAAUAUGGUGAGAAUAUGAGCAGUAUCAUUUAAUACGUAUACAUAUCAUAUAUCUAUUAUAAGAACCACUACCAUAAAAAGUUUGGGGUCAAUGAGAUGCGUUUUUUUUUUUUUUUUUUUUUUUUUUAAAGAGCCAUAACAGGAAUAAAUUACAUUGUAAAAUAGAAAACAGUUGUUUUCAAUUUUUAUAUUAUUUCACAAUAUGUUUUUUUAAAUAUAGUAUUUUUUUUAAUCAAGUAAAUGGAGUCUGGUUGAGCAUAAGAUACUACUUUUAAAAACAUGACCCCAAACUUUUAAACAGUAGUGUAUGCAUUAAAUCUCUUAUAUCUGCUGAUUAAAUAACUAAAUAAAA
rnacentral:lncRNA from 1 species